AACUUGGUGUACACUUGUUAUCUCCUCUUUUGGACGACAGCAUGUUCACCCCUCUCCCCAAAUACUUCUCUCUCAGGAUUGGUUUUAUUUUUCACUGAGCAAUUAUCUAAAGACAGCCAACGAGUUACUUGUUACUGAGGAGAAGCUGGAGGCGAAAUCAAGAACUGCUUUUCUGGACCUGGUGGUGCUAAGUGUGGACUUCCAAUAUGUAAAGUCUGCAGAGAUAAAAGAUACACACUGGAGCAUUCCUCUGAUUUUCGUCAAGACAAAUAUGGAACGUGAAGACUGCAUGUCUAUAGCAGUCCUCACGGGGGCAGUGUGCAACAGUACUCAAAAGAAGCUGGAACACAAAGUGCUGACAAGAUCCACAAAACAUUCAUAGCAAAGGGGACUGUCUGCUGGAGAAGUUGCCAGAAAUUUUGAAGUCCUGGGAAAAAUAGUUUUUUUCUAGAAAACAGAAAUGUUGGGGAAAUUGAAAUAUAUACAAUACUGUA